GAUGAACGCUGGCGGCGUGCCUAAUACAUGCAAGUCGAGCGAACAGACGAGGAGCUUGCUCCUCUGACGUUAGCGGCGGACGGGUGAGUAACACGUGGAUAACCUACCUAUAAGACUGGGAUAACUUCGGGAAACCGGAGCUAAUACCGGAUAAUAUAUUGAACCGCAUGGUUCAAUAGUGAAAGACGGUUUUGCUGUCACUUAUAGAUGGAUCCGCGCCGCAUUAGCUAGUUGGUAAGGUAACGGCUUACCAAGGCGACGAUGCGUAGCCGACCUGAGAGGGUGAUCGGCCACACUGGAACUGAGACACGGUCCAGACUCCUACGGGAGGCAACAGUAGGGAAUCUUCCGCAAUGGGCGAAAGCCUGACGGAGCAACGCCGCGUGAUUGAUGAAGGUCUUCGGAUCGUAAAACUCUGUUAUUAGGGAAGAACAAAUGUGUAAGUAACUAUGCACGUCUUGACGGUACCUAAUCAGAAAGCCACGGCUAACUACGUG
rnacentral:rRNA from 1 species